rnacentral:rRNA from 1 species
CCUGAGAAACCCAAAAGAUCGAAUGGAGAGAUUCAUCGUCAGCUCAUUUUGUAUAUAUGCAAGUUGUGAUAUGGGUUACUAUUCUUGUAGUAGUAUUGCUUGUACAUUCUUGUAUAUUUUUGUUUGCAAAAUGUUGUCGGCGUGCACUUCUCUCCUAGUAGAACGUCGCGACCCGUUGAAUUAUUAUAUAUAUAUUAAUCUACGGCCCAGGUGAUAGCUUUUAAUAAAUGGGGUUUAUUCUUUAUUUAUUAAAAAUCCCUGGUGUUACCUGAUUAAAAUUUGGCGGUAUUCGUACGGUAUUAAGCCGCAUAUAUUUAAAAUAUGCGUCCUGUCCAUCACAAGCGAGGUUAGUUUUUCUAAAUACUGACAGUACGGACCUGGUGCCGUCGUUGGUGCUAAUCAGCUGUUAGUUGUAUGGAAUUCUAGGACUGGCUUGUUAUAUUAUUACCGGUCAGCGAUGCU